rnacentral:rRNA from 1 species
CUAAUACAUGCAAGUCGAGCGAACAGACGAGGAGCUUGCUCCUCUGACGUUAGCGGCGGACGGGUGAGUAACACGUGGAUAACCUACCUAUAAGACCGGGAUAACUUCGGGAAACCGGAGCUAAUACCGGAUAAUAUAUUGAACCGCAUGGUUCAAUAGUGAAAGACGGUUUUGCUGUCACUUAUAGAUGGAUCCGCGCCGCAUUAGCUAGUUGGUAAGGUAACGGCUUACCAAGGCAACGAUGCGUAGCCGACCUGAGAGGGUGAUCGGCCACACUGGAACUGAGACACGGUCCAGACUCCUACGGGAGGCAGCAGUAGGGAAUCUUCCGCAAUGGGCGAAAGCCUGACGGAGCAACGCCGCGUGAGUGAUGAAGGUCUCCGGAUCGUAAAACUCUGUUAUUAGGGAAGAACAAAUGUGUAAGUAACUAUGCACGUCUUGACGGUACCUAAUCAGAAAGCCACGGCUAACUACGUGCCAGCAGCCGCGGUAAUACGUAGGUGGCAAGCGUUAUCCGGAAUUAUUGGGCGUAAAGCGCGCGUAGGCGGUUUUUUAAGUCUGAUGUGAAAGCCCACGGCUCAACCGUGGAGGGUCAUUGGAAACUGGAAAACUUGAGUGCAGAAGAGGAAAGCGGAAUUCCAUGUGUAGCGGUGAAAUGCGCAGAGAUAUGGAGGAACACCAGUGGCGAAGGCGACUUUCUGGUCUGUAACUGACGCUGAUGUGCGAAAGCGUGGGGA